GUGGGGAAUUUUGGACAAUGGGCGCAAGCCUGAUCCAGCAAUGCCGCGUGCAGGAAGAAGGCCUUCGGGUUGUAAACUGCUUUUGUACGGAACGAAAAGGCUCUGGCUAAUACCUGGGGCUAAUGACGGUACCGUAAGAAUAAGCACCGGCUAACUACGCGCCAGCAGCCGCGGUAAUACGUAGGGUGCAAGCGUUAAUCGGAAUUACUGGGCGUAAAGCGUGCGCAGGCGGUUUUGUAAGACAGGCGUGAAAUCCCCGGGCUCAACCUGGGAAUGGCGCUUGUGACUGCAAGGCUGGAGUGCGGCAGAGGGGGAUGGAAUUCCGCGUGUAGCAGUGAAAUGCGUAGAUAUGCGGAGGAACACCGAUGGCGAAGGCAAUCCCCUGGGCCUGCACUGACGCUCAUGCACGAAAGCGUGGGGAGCAAACAGGAUUAGAUACCCGAGUAGUCC
rnacentral:rRNA from 1 species